rnacentral:rRNA from 1 species
UACGAAGGGUGCAAGCGUUAAUCGGAAUUACUGGGCGUAAAGCGCGCGUAGGUGGUUCGUUAAGUUAGGAGUGAAAGCCCCGGGCUCAACCUGGGAAUGGCAUCCAAAACUGGCAGGCUGGAGUGCGGUAGAGGAUGGUGGAAUUCCCGGUGUAGCGGUGAAAUGCGUAGAGAUCGGGAGGAACAUCGAUGGCGAAGGCAGCCAUCUGGACCAGCACUGACGCUGAGGCACGAAAGCGUGGGGAGCAAACAGGAUUAGAUACCCGGGUA